GACGAACGCUGGCGGCGUGCCUAAUACAUGCAAGUCGAACGCUUCUUUUUCCACCGGAGCUUGCUCCACCGGAAAAAGAAGAGUAGCGAACGGGUGAGUAACACGUGGGUAACCUGCCCAUCAGAAGGGGAUAACACUUGGAAACAGGUGCUAAUACCGUAUAACAAUCAAAACCGCAUGGUUUUGAUUUGAAAGGCGCUUUCGGGUGUCGCUGAUGGAUGGACCCGCGGUGCAUUAGCUAGUUGGUGAGGUAACGGCUCACCAAGGCCACGAUGCAUAGCCGACCUGAGAGGGUGAUCGGCCACAUUGGGACUGAGACACGGCCCAGACUCCUACGGGAGGCAGCAGUAGGGAAUCUUCGGCAAUGGACGGAAGUCUGACCGAGCAACGCCGCGUGAGUGAAGAAGGUUUUCGGAUCGUAAAACUCUGUUGUUAGAGAAGAACAAGGACGUUAGUAACUGAACGUCCCCUGACGGUAUCUAACCAGAAAGCCACGGCUAACUACGUGCCAGCAGCCGCGGUAAUACGUAGGUGGCAAGCGUUGUCCGGAUUUAUUGGGCGUAAAGCGAGCGCAGGCGGUUUCUUAAGUCUGAUGUGAAAGCCCCCGGCUCAACCGGGGAGGGUCAUUGGAAACUGGGAGACUUGAGUGCAGAAGAGGAGAGUGGAAUUCCAUGUGUAGCGGUGAAAUGCGUAGAUAUAUGGAGGAACACCAGUGGCGAAGGCGGCUCUCUGGUCUGUAACUGACGCUGAGGCUCGAAAGCGUGGG
rnacentral:rRNA from 1 species